rnacentral:rRNA from 1 species
AUUGAACGCUGGCGGCAUGCCUUACACAUGCAAGUCGAACGGCAGCACGGGUGCUUGCACCUGGUGGCGAGUGGCGAACGGGUGAGUAAUACAUCGGAACAUGUCCUGUAGCGGGGGAUAGCCCGGCGAAAGCCGGAUUAAUACCGCAUACGAUCUACGGAUGAAAGCGGGGGACCUUCGGGCCUCGCGCUAUAGGGUUGGCCGAUGGCUGAUUAGCUAGUUGGUGGGGUAAAGGCCUACCAAGGCGACGAUCAGUAGCUGGUCUGAGAGGACGACCAGCCACACUGGGACUGAGACACGGCCCAGACUCCUACGGGAGGCAGCAGUGGGGAAUUUUGGACAAUGGGCGAAAGCCUGAUCCAGCAAUGCCGCGUGUGUGAAGAAGGCCUUCAGGUUGUAAAGCACUUUUGUCCGGAAAGAAAUCCUUGGCCCUAAUACGGUCGGGGGAUGACGGUACCGGAAGAAUAAGCACCGGCUAACUACGUG